rnacentral:rRNA from 1 species
AUUGAACGCUGGCGGCAGGCCUAACACAUGCAAGUCGGACGGUAGCACAGAGGAGCUUGCUCCUCGGGUGACGAGUGGCGGACGGGUGAGUAAUGUCUGGGGAUCUGCCCGAUAGAGGGGGAUAACCACUGGAAACGGUGGCUAAUACCGCAUAACGUCGCAAGACCAAAGAGGGGGACCUUCGGGCCUCUCACUAUCGGAUGAACCCAGAUGGGAUUAGCUAGUAGGCGGGGUAACGGCCCACCUAGGCGGCGAUCCCUAGCUGGUCUGAGAGGAUGACCAGCCACACUGGAACUGAGACACGGUCCAAACUCCUACGGGAGGCAGCAGUGGGGAAUAUUGCACAAUGGGCGCAAGCCUGAUGCAGCCAUGCCGCGUGUAUGAAGAAGGCCUUCGGGUUGUAAAGUACUUUCAGCGGGGAGGAAGGCGAUGUGGUUAAUAACCGCGUCGAUUGACGUUACCCGCAGAAGAAGCACCGGCUAACUCCGUGCCAGCCGCCGCAGUAA